CUUAAAUGAUGAACUAAAAAUCUUAUCUACACCUAAUAUACAUAUACAGGUAGCUAGGGUUCUCUUCGAGGAGAACCGCCUCCCCGCUAGAUCUCAUCCACCCAAUCUCCAGUUUCAAUAUUGGUUGUGUGUUUCUCUCGUAGUUGUAGAGGGUCUUUGGCGUCUCAGAGUUUCAAAAGCAAUUGUUUCUUGGUUCCAGGUUUUGCCUUGAUUUCUUUCCUUUUUCUGCUGUACAAUUUUCUUAUUUCCUCUGCUUUCUUUCCUCUUUUAUUUGCCCUACUUUCUUCAUACCUUUUCUUCUCUAAAUUCUUUAUAUCUAAUUUUCAUUAUAUGUUUGCUUUGUGCCCUCUUGUCUUUGCCCUAAUUUCUUUUUGCUUUCUCUUUUUUCUCUCUCUGCUCUUUUUUUUUCAUUAUCAGAUUGACUUGUUCGCUCAUUUCUUUGCUCUAAUUCCUUUCUUCCUUUCUUUUUUUCUCUUUUUCACUCUCAAUUUGUUUUGUUCCCUCUUCCCUUUUUCUUACGUUCUUUCCUCCCUUUCCUUUUCUGUUUUCCUUUCUCUCCUUCUCUUACUGUCUUUCCUCUAUUUGGGUUCAUUUGAAUAUCCAUCACUCUUUGUUCAUGAAGGCUCUAGUUUGGAAUUUUCAGCGUAUGGGAACCCAGUAACAAUUUCCCAGUUGCGGAGAUUACUCUAUACUCAUUCUCCAUUUUAUGGUUUUCUUGGUUGAAACUAAGAAUAAUGUGGCAAAGUUAGAGCAAUUACAUCGACAGUGUGGUCAAUUUAAAAUGUUUGUUAUCCCCUCUAAUGGUUUAUCGGGAGGUUUAGCUUUAUUUUACAAAGACAAUUGGGGAAUUCAAGUCAUUGAUAGCAAUGGCUUUCACAUUACAUGCAAGAUAUCACAGGGUGGUCAGAUUGGUGAUUGGUUUUUCUCGGGUAUUUAUGCCUCUUGUGAUGACAGUACCAGAAAUUUGCAAUGGAAUUUUCUCCACUCAUUACAGACUAAGAUUGGGCAUAAGUGGUUAUUAAUGGGGGACUUCAAUUCGAUCCUUCAUGCGGGGGGAAAAAAAAAUGGGGUUCAUCAAAGGAGCUGGAUGCUUAGGAGCUUUUGAAGUUUAGUAGAAGAUUGUGGUUUGCUGGAUUUGGGUUUUAAAUGAGACUCCUUUACCUGGUGUAAUAAUAGGGAAUCGGGUAAAAAGAUUAGAGCUCAACUAGAUAGAGGUUUGGCUACUCAAUCUUAGCUGAGCUCAUUUUCUUAUUGUGCUUUACAUAAUCUCUAAGUAUUAGGCUCUGAUUAUCUUGCAUUAUUAUUGGAUUUUAAUCAAGAAAUCUUGAGCACCAAAUGUCAAUUUUACUUCGAUGCCAGAUGGGUUCAGGAGGAAUCUUUUAACCAGUUAAUCAAAAGUUCUUGGGAGAAUCCUGUUAAUGGCUCUUCCAUGUUUGUUUUAAAGGAAAAGUUGAAGCUGUGCAAAAAUCAGCUUAAACUAUGGAAUUCUAAUUAUAAGAGUAAUUCGGCGCAACAUAUUUAAGAUCUUCAAAGGGAAAUAGCAGAGUUAAAAGGGAAAGAUGAUGGUGAUAAACAACUUUGUUUUCGUCUUGAAACAGAGUUGGGAAAAGCUUGGAGGGAUGAGGAACUUCACUGGAAACAAAAGUCCGGGAUCUCAUAAUUGAUGCAUGAUGACAAGAACACUAGCUAUUUUCACAGAAAGACUAUGUUUCGAAAACAGAAAAAUUUGAUUUCAAGCCUUGAAGAUUCCUAUGGAGAAUGGAGAGAUUCUAAGUAGGAGAUCAGAAGCAUUAUUGAAGCGUAUUUUUCUAAUCUCUUCUCUUCAUCAGUAAAUUUUCAUAUAGAUGAUUCCUUUUAGGAUAUGAUCCCUAUUAAAAUAACUGAUGCUAUGAAUAAAGACUUACUAAAACCAAGAUCUGAAGAGGAACUGUGGUUGACUUUAAAAGAUAUGGGUCCAAUGAAGACUCCGGGUCCAGACGGAUUUUCUCCUUUCUUUUUCCAAGUUAAUUGGGACAUCAUUAAAGGAGAUUUGGUAUUGGACGGUUCCAAUCUCAAGCUUGAUCAUGCUAAGCUGAGACUCUCAUUCAUUCCACCAGCAACGUAGGAUUUCAUUUCACGCUUUAGUCUUGGAUUAUUUUUAUUUUUAAUUAUUCAAUUUCAGUUGAAGUUUUAUUUCGGGGUUCACUAGUUGGAUUCCCAAGUUGUAACCUUGGAGGUUUUGGAAGGAUUGGAUUAAUAAUAUUUUCCAUUUGGAGGAUUUUAUAUUUCUUUUGGUUCUU